rnacentral:tRNA from 1 species
UGCCUUCGAUGAGAAUCGGACUCAUAUUUUUCCCUUUUCAGGGGAAUGCUCUUAUCCAUUGAGCUACAAAGGC